rnacentral:tRNA from 1 species
GCGCGGGUGGUGGAACUGGCAGACACAUACGCUUGAGGUGCGUACGCCUGAAAGGGUUUGGGGGUUCGAGUCCCCCCUCGCGCA